rnacentral:tRNA from 1 species
UGGGCUAAAGUCCGCCGGUUUUGACAGCUAGCUGUUAAUUAGUUUUUGUGGGAUCGAGGCCCGCUAGUCCAG